rnacentral:rRNA from 1 species
UACGUAGGGACCAAGCGUUGUCCGGAAUUAUUGGGCGUAAAGAGCUCGUAGGCGGCUGUCCACGUCGGAUGUGAAAGCUCGGGGCUCAACCCUGAGAGGCCAUUCGAUACGGGAUAGCUAGAGGUAGGUAGGGGAGAUUGGAAUUCCUGGUGUAGCGGUGAAAUGCGCAGAGAUCGGGAAGAACAUCGGUGGCGAAGGCGGUCUGCUGGGCCGUUGCUGACGCUGAGGCGCGACAGCGUGGGGGAGCAAACAGG